AUUGAACGCUGGCGGCAUGCCUUACACAUGCAAGUCGAACGGUAACGCGGGGCAACCUGGCGACGAGUGGCGAACGGGUGAGUAAUGCAUCGGAACGUGCCUGGUAGUGGGGGAUAACUGCCCGAAAGAGCAGCUAAUACCGCAUACGACCUGAGGGUGAAAGGGGGGGAUCGCAAGACCUCUCGCUAUCAGAGCGGCCGAUGUCGGAUUAGCUAGUUGGUGGGGUAAAGGCCCACCAAGGCAACGAUCCGUAGCUGGUCUGAGAGGACGACCAGCCACACUGGGACUGAGACACGGCCCAGACUCCUACGGGAGGCAGCAGUGGGGAAUUUUGGACAAUGGACGCAAGUCUGAUCCAGCCAUGCCGCGUGCGGGAAGAAGGCCUUCGGGUUGUAAACCGCUUUUGUCAGGGAAGAAAUCUUCUGGGCUAAUACCCUGGGAGGAUGACGGUACCUGAAGAAUAAGCACCGGCUAACUACGUGCCAGCAGCCGCAGUAAGAC
rnacentral:rRNA from 1 species